GACGAACGCUGGCGGCGUGCUUAACACAUGCAAGUCGAACGGAAAGGCCCUGCUUUUGUGGGGUGCUCGAGUGGCGAACGGGUGAGUAACACGUGAGUAACCUGCCCUUGACUUUGGGAUAACGUCAGGAAACUGGGGCUAAUACCGGAUAGGAGCUCCUGCUGCAUGGUGGGGGUUGGAAAGUUUCGGCGGUUGGGGAUGGACUCGCGGCUUAUCAGCUUGUUGGUGGGGGAGUGGCUUACCAAGGCUUUGACGGGUAGCCGGCCUGAGAGGGUGACCGGCCACAUUGGGACUGAGAUACGGCCCAGACUCCUACGGGAGGCAGCAGUGGGGAAUAUUGCACAAUGGGCGGAAGCCUGAUGCAGCAACGCCGCGUGCGGGAUGACGGCCUUCGGGUUGUAAACCGCUUUCGCCUGUGACGAAGCGUGAGUGACGGUAAUGGGUAAAGAAGCACCGGCUAACUACGU
rnacentral:rRNA from 1 species